UUUUUAGUGUAAGUAUAUCCCAUGCAAUAUUUAGGACAUACUUAUAAUACUAAAA
rfam:Myotis lucifugus cont2.31091, whole genome shotgun sequence.